rnacentral:lncRNA from 1 species
GCGGCUCACUCCCCUCGGAUGGUCUUUCCACCCGAGUUUUUCCCGGGAAGAGGCUCUCAAGACUAGCCAGUGCAGGAGGAGGAGUCGAACUCUGGAUAGCCUGUUUAUAAAGCCCUAACUGUGCCGAUGUUGACCGUUUUCUGAAACUCCUCCUCCAAAACCCACGCCAAACCACAAGAUGAAGGAAAUUCACACAUCAGGAUGCCAAAAACCAUGGAAGACUUCUGAUGUUCUGGGAGGGUUGACAAAGAUGGACCUUAAAUUCUAGAAUUUAGGUAUUCAUGGUUGAGAUCCUGAAGAAAACAUUUUCUGCUGAGCAGAAGCAAUUUAAUAAUUGCCUCCCUUCAUUUCAGAAUCCAGAAGUGUCUGCAGCCAACCAAAGAGGGAAUGUUUGAUGGACAGAAGUUGGAAUGGAAGGAGAAAAUGGCUUAUUUUAGUUAAAAUGUUUUACUUUUGGAAAUUUUUUUAAAAACUUAUUUUCACAUAUCACAUAAAUACAUUGUUAGGACCCCUCCCAGGGCCAUAGAAGUGGCCUGCACAGACAUCUGGUUUUAAAGUGGCAGUACAGAAGCAAGCUGGUUUCACUGUCCCCACAGAAAACCAAAAAUAUACAGAGCUGUGAUUUUCCCCAGCAACAGUCCAGAACUCAUAUAUGAGGAUGAGACAGAUCCUAGGGCCAUAAAGAAAAAAACUUCUUUGGAAAAAAACUCCAAGCAGAUGUUAAGGUCGAUCACAAGACUUCUAAUCACAUACUGAGAAAACAAAAGCAUCACUGCAGGAAAUCCCUUUAAACUUUUGCCUUAUGGCAAAUGGACAUAUGCUCAAAGGUGCUGAACACAUGAAAUAAGGCUGUAAAAAUCUACUAAACAAAUGAAAAUAAUUACAUUGCAAAUGCUUUUUUCCUUAGAGCACUUGUUUUAAGAAAUGUAUUUCUGGAAUACAAGCUAGAAGUGGUUUUGUCCUGCUGCUGAGGGUUAAAGGCAAACUUAAGGUCUCCAGCCUUUGGUGUGACACAUGAGAGCGAAUAACAAAAAGAAGGUCUUGAGUUUUUUGAUAGUUAGGCAUAUUUUCAUUAUAAUGGUAUCCAGAUAUGUGAUAUAUCUGAUAUAUAAUACACAUAUAGACACAUAUAUGUCUCUCUAUAUAUUUGUAUAUAGGUAGAUUUUAUUAUAUGUGAAAUCUGCAUAUAACUAUAAUGAAAGUCUCAACUGUUACCUCAAUAACCUUUAACCUGACUACAAUAUUUAAAAGUUCAAUCUCACUACCAGAACACACCCUGACACUUCUGAUUCUAUUUUGCUUUAUGUUUUGCAUAUUGUUUGUCAACUUCUAUCAUAUGACUUAGUAUGUUUAUUAUUUAUUGUCCUCUCUCUCCAUUGAAGAGAAUUUUUGAUUCCUUAAAGAAAAUAUUUCUCACAUGAUCAGUUUUUUAAUUUACAAAAUAUCUCAAUGUCAAUGUACCCAUUUCAAAUAUAUGUGUGUUAAACAUUA